rnacentral:rRNA from 1 species
CGUGCUAAUCUGCGAUAAGCGCCGGUAAGGUGAUAUGAACCGUUAUAACCGGCGAUUUCCGAAUGGGGAAACCCAGUGUGAUUCGUCACACUAUCAUUAACUGAAUCCAUAGGUUAAUGAGGCGAACCGGGGGAACUGAAACAUCUAAGUACCCCGAGGAAAAGAAAUCAACCGAGAUUCCCCCAGUAGCGGCGAGCGAACGGGGAGGAGCCCAGAGCCUGAAUCAGCAUGUGUGUUAGUGGAAGCGUCUGGAAAGGUGCGCGAUACAGGGUGACAGCCCCGUACACAAAAGCGCAUGUGCUGUGAGCUCGAUGAGUAGGGCGGGACACGUGGUAUCCUGUCUGAAUAUGGGGGGACCAUCCUCCAAGGCUAAAUACUCCUGACUGACCGAUAGUGAACCAGUACCGUGAGGGAAAGGCGAAAAGAACCCCGGCGAGGGGAGUGAAAAAGAACCUGAAACCGUGUACGUACAAGCAGUGGGAG